UGGGGAAUAUUGGACAAUGGGCGAAAGCCUGAUCCAGCCAUGCCGCGUGAGUGACGAAGGCCUUAGGGUUGUAAAACCCUUUCGUCGGGGACGAUAAUGACGGUACCCGAAGAAGAAGCUCCGGCUAACUUCGUGCCAGCAGCCGCGGUAAUACGAAGGGAGCUAGCGUUGUUCGGAAUCACUGGGCGUAAAGCGCACGUAGGCGGAUAGUUAAGUCGGUGGUGAAAUCCUGGAGCUCAACUCCAGAACUGCCUUCGAUACUGAGAGGCUCGAGUCCGGGAGAGGUGAGUGGAACUGCGAGUGUAGAGGUGAAAUUCGUAGAUAUUCGCAAGAACACCAGUGGCGAAGGCGGCUCACUGGCCCGGUACUGACGCUGAGGUGCGAAAGCGUGGGGAGCAAACAGGAUUAGAUACCCCGGUAGUCCCUGAGCGGGCUGGCAAGGCGCAU
rnacentral:rRNA from 1 species